rnacentral:rRNA from 1 species
UACGUAGGGGGCUAGCGUUGUCCGGAAUCAUUGGGCGUAAAGAGCGUGUAGGCGGCUUGAUAAGUCUGCUGUGAAAGUCCAGGGCUCAACCCUGGAAUGCCGGUGGAAACUGUCAAGCUAGAGUCCGGAAGAGGCGAGUGGAACUCCUGGUGUAGCGGUGAAAUGCGCAGAUAUCAGGAGGAACACCAAUGGCGAAGGCAGCUCGCUGGGACGGUACUGACGCUGAGGCGCGAAAGCGUGGGGAGCAAACAGG